rnacentral:tRNA from 4 species
AGUAAGGUCAGCUAAUUAAGCUCUUGGGCCCAUACCCCAAACAUGUUGGUUAAACUCCUUCCUUUACUA